rnacentral:misc_RNA from 1 species
UCCGGUUUGGCACCGGCAGUCGGACUAGAGUCCCCGACAUUACUCGCUGGCAACUAGUCCCAAGGGUUGCGCUCGUUGCGGGACUUAACCCAACAUCUCACGACACGAGCUGACGACAGCCAUGCAGCACCUGUGCACGAGCUCCGAAGAGCCCCGCGGGUUUCCCCACGAGUUCCCGUGCAUGUCAAGCCCAGGUAAGGUUCUUCGCGUUGCGUCGAAUUAAACCACAUGCUCCACCGCUUGUGCGGGCCCCCGUCAAUUCCUUUGAGUUUCAGCCUUGCGGCCGUACUCCCCAGGCGGGGCACUUAAUGCGUUAGCGCCGGCCCUCAAGGGGUCGCUCCCCCAAGGACCUAGUGCCCAUCGUUUACGGCGUGGACUAC